GCAUGAGAUGAUGACUAGAAUUGUUUGAUAGCCAAUAUGAUGGCUAUAUAAUGUAUUAGCUCUAGCUGAUCGCUGC
rnacentral:snoRNA from 1 species